ensembl:lncRNA
GUUUUGACAGGCUGCCCUUUGACCAAUUCCCGUUGGUCAUCAUGCGCCACCCACCAAGCCCCAUUGCUGUACCCCCACCCUGGGCCAGGCGCUGUCCUUCCCAAGGCAAAGGUCUCCAGGGUCCUUUUUAUAGCUGAUCCCUCCCUGGGAGGUGCUCAUUUCUUGGUCCCUCCUGAUGAGGAAAGACCCUGCAGCCAGGCCUGCACUCUCUGGAGAUGCUGGUGAUCCAGAUCCUGCCACUGGCUCUCUGGCUCGGGGUGACUGCUACAGUGACAACGCCGAUGACUGAAUCACCGACAAAGAAUGAGUCCACAUCAAUUUCCACAGAAUCCUUUUCAACUUUGGCGACAUCCACACCUGUGCGAUCUUUUAUCUCCACAACACCCACGGUAGUUUUCAGUUCAACCGUUUCCUCUGCCACCGUCUAUACAACUGAGAAUACAAGUCCUUCAUCGCCUUCUGGUCCUGAGACAUCAACGACCAAUCAGGAAACUGGACAGACACACACAUUCUCCACAGAAGAGACGGCUGUCAACACAGACAUUUCUGGUUUGUCCACACCGUCUGUUUCCCCUGCAUCAUCUCCUUCCGGGAAUGGUGGAAGUAGCACGUCCUCUUCAAGUCCUGGCCAGCUGUCUACCACUCCCCGUGUCUCACCACAGACGACCACGUACCCCCUGGAGGGAUCCACUGGGUCUGCAGACACUUCUGCUUCUGGGAAUCCUACACUUACUUCGGACAGUGUGUCUACCAAGAGCAACAGCUUUUCCACUUCCACAGGCAGGCUGAGUGAAUCCUCUCCCACUGGAGGUGACCAGGGACACACCACCACACCUCCUCCUCCAGGAUCGACCUUCUACACAGCCACCACAGAGGCAUCCACAGCCACACCUCCUACUCUCCCUUCCACCAGUACAGAGAAGGCACGUACUGCCUCCUCAUCAAGCCACAGUGCGCUGUCCACGCCCACCGUGCUCUCUGAGCAAAGCACCCCAACUCUCACAGGGGAGUCAACCAUCUACUCCACCACUUCAGCUCCAAGUGAAUCAACAGUUUCUACCUCCCCUGGCUCGCAGACCCCAGAAACUGGUACUUCUCCAGCCAUGACAAGCCCCAGUGCCGUGUCUUCGCCCACUGUGCUGUCCGAGCAAAGCACCUCAACUCUCUCAGAGGAGUCAACCAGCUACUCUACUGUUUCUGCUCCAUCUGAACCAACAGUUUCUACAUUCCCCAGCUCACAGACACCCGGAACUGGUACCUCUGCAGCCCGAUCAACCGUCAGUGUGCUGUCCACGCCCACUGUGCUCUCUGAGCAAAGCACCCCAACUCUCGCUGAUGAGACAACCAGCUACUCUACUGUUUCUGCUCCAUCUGAAUCAACACUUUCUACAUUCCCCAGCUCGCUGACCCCAGAAAUUGGUACCUCUGCAGCCCGAUCAACCGCCACUGCACUGUCCACGCCCACCAUGCUCUCUGAGCAAAGCACCCCAACUCUUGCAGGGGGGUCAACCAUCUAUUCCACCGUUUCGGCUCCAUCUGAAUCAACAGUUACUACCUCCCCCAGCUCGCAGACCACAAAAUCCAGUACUUCUGCAGCCCCGUCAAGCCCCAGUACACUGUCCACCACCACCGUGCUCUUUGAGCAAAGCACCCCAACUCUCACAGGGGAGUCAACCAUCUACUCCACCACUUCAGCUCCAUCUGAAUCAACAGUUACUACCCGCUCCAGCUUGAAGACCCCAGAAACGGGUACUUCUCCAGCCCCAUCAAGCCCCAGGGCGCUGUCUACACCCACUGCGCUCUCCGAGCAAAGCACCCCAACUGUCCCAGAGGAGUCAACCAUAUACUCCACCAUUUUGGCUCCAUCUGAAUCAACUGUUCCUACAUCCCCCAGCUCUCAGACCCCAGAAACUGGUACUUCUGCAGCCCCGUCAAGCCCCAGUGUGUUGUCCAUGCCCACUGUGCUCUCUGAGCAAAGCACCCCAACUCUUGCAGAGGAGUCAACCAGCUACUCUACUGUUUCGGCUCCAUCUGAAUCAGCAGUUUCUACCUCUGCCAGCUCGCAGACCCCAGAAUCCCGUACUUCUGCAGCCCCGUCAAGCUCCAGUGCACUGUCUACACCCACCGUGCUCUCUGAGCAAAGCACCCCAACUCUCGCCGACGAGCCAACCCGCUACUCUACCACUUCGGCUCCAUCCGAAUCAACAGUUUCCACCUCUCCCAGCUCGCAGACCCCAGAAACUGGCACUUCUGCAGCCCUGUCUAGCCCCACUGCGCUGUCCACACCCACCGUGCUCUCUGAGCACAGCACCCCAACUCUCGCAGAGGAGUCAACCAUCUACUCCACCAUUUCAACUCCACCUGAAUCAACAGUUUCUACCUCCCCUGGCUCGCAGACCCCAGAAACUGGUACUUCUCCAGCCAUGACAAGCCCCAGUGUGUUGUCCACGCCCACUGUGCUCUCUGAGCAAAGCACCCCAACUCUUGCAGAGGAGUCAACCAGAUACUCUACU